rnacentral:snRNA from 11 species
AUUUCAACUAUGGACACCCCAUAGAACUGUGCAUGGUGUAGUAUCUGUUCUUAUCAGUUUAAUAUCUGAUACAUCCUCUAUUUGAGGACUAUGUGUUAAAUGAAUUUUUGGGCCUGGGAGAUUGAAUAGGGGCUUGCUCCAUACAAAAAAAAA